rnacentral:rRNA from 1 species
AUUGAACGCUGGCGGAAUGCUUUACACAUGCAAGUCGAGCGGCAGCGCGGGGCAACCUGGCGGCGAGCGGCGAACGGGUGAGUAAUACAUCGGAACGUGCCCAGACGUGGGGGAUAACUACUCGAAAGAGUAGCUAAUACCGCAUACGAUCUACGGAUGAAANCGGGGGAUCGCAAGACCUCGCGCGUCUGGAGCGGCUGAUGGCAGAUUAGGUAGUUGGUGGGAUAAAAGCCUACCAAGCCAACGAUCUGUAGCUGGUCUGAGAGGAUGAUCAGCCACACUGGGACUGAGACACGGCCCAGACUCCUACGGGAGGCAGCAGUGGGGAAUUUUGGACAAUGGGCGAAAGCCUGAUCCAGCCAUUCCGCGUGCAGGAUGAAGGCCCUCGGGUUGUAAACUGCUUUUGUACAGAACGAAAAAGCUCCGGCUAAUACCUGGAGUCCAUGACGGUACUGUAAGAAUAAGCACCGGCUAACUACGUG